rnacentral:misc_RNA from 1 species
AUUUGUGUAAAUGAUAUCUUGCAAUCUCUUGUGGAAUAUGUCUUGUAUGGUGUUCAGAUGAAUUAAAUUCUGGCAUACAGCCUAUCCAUGUGUGUAUAAAAUGUUAUGAACUUUGGAUGUUAUUUUGGUCAAGUUUGAUUGUCUAUGGUAUCCCAUGGUAAUCUUGGCAUUAAAAUUGGGAAUCAUUUGAAGUGAAUUUCUUAUUGUCAGCUGAAGCACUUGGUAAUCUUAGUGUUUUGCCGGUGUAUCUUGUUAAAUUUUGUCCCCAUUGUAACAUUUCAAGUUUGACCAGGUGACCUGGCAUG